rnacentral:rRNA from 1 species
GCGGCAGGCCUAACACAUGCAAGUCGAACGGUAACAGGAAGCAGCUUGCUGCUUCGCUGACGAGUGGCGGACGGGUGAGUAAUGUCUGGGAAACUGCCUGAUGGAGGGGGAUAACUACUGGAAACGGUGGCUAAUACCGCAUAACGUCGCAAGACCAAAGAGGGGGACCUUCGGGCCUCUUGCCAUCAGAUGUGCCCAGAUGGGAUUAGCUUGUUGGUGAGGUAACGGCUCACCAAGGCGACGAUCCCUAGCUGGUCUGAGAGGAUGACCAGCCACACUGGAACUGAGACACGGUCCAGACUCCUACGGGAGGCAGCAGUGGGGAAUAUUGCACAAUGGGCGCAAGCCUGAUGCAGCCAUGCCGCGUGUAUGAAGAAGGCCUUCGGGUUGUAAAGUACUUUCAGCGGGGAGGAAGGUGUUGUGGUUAAUAACCGCAGCAAUUGACGUUACCCGCAGAAGAAGCACCGGCUAACUCCGUGCCAGCAGCCGCGGUAAUACGGAGGGUGCAAGCGUUAAUCGGAAUUACUGGGCGUAAAGCGCACGCAGGCGGUCUGUCAAGUCGGAUGUGAAAUCCCCGGGCUCAACCUGGGAACUGCAUUCGAAACUGGCAGGCUUGAGUCUUGUAGAGGGGGGUAGAAUUCCAGGUGUAGCGGUGAAAUGCGUAGAGAUCUGGAGGAAUACCGGUGGCGAAGGCGGCCCCCUGGACAAAGACUGACGCUCAGGUGCGAAAGCGUGGGGAGCAAACAGGAUUAGAUACCCUGGUAGUCCACGCCGUAAACGAUGUCUACUUGGAGGUUGUGCCCUUGAGGCGUGGCUUCCGGAGCUAACGCGUUAAGUAGACCGCCUGGGGAGUACGGCCGCAAGGUUAAAACUCAAAUGAAUUGACGGGGGCCCGCACAAGCGGUGGAGCAUGUGGUUUAAUUCGAUGCAACGCGAAGAACCUUACCUGGUCUUGACAUCCACAGAAGAAUCCAGAGAUGGAUUGGUGCCUUCGGGAACUGUGAGACAGGUGCUGCAUGGCUGUCGUCAGCUCGUGUUGUGAAAUGUUGGGUUAAGUCCCGCAACGAGCGCAAC